AAGAUUUUAAGUUAAUUAAACUAUUAGCCUUCAAAGCUGAAUAUAAAUUAAG
rnacentral:tRNA from 1 species